UACGUAGGGUGCAAGCGUUGUCCGGAAUUAUUGGGCGUAAAGAGCUCGUAGGCGGUUUGUCGCGUCUGCUGUGAAAACUCGGGGCUUAACCCCGGGCCUGCAGUGGGUACGGGCAGACUAGAGUGCGGUAGGGGAGACUGGAAUUCCUGGUGUAGCGGUGAAAUGCGCAGAUAUCGGGAAGAACACCCGUGGCGAAGGCGGCUACUCUGGGAGCGGUACUGACGCUGAGACGCGAAAGCUAGGGGAGCAAAGCGGG
rnacentral:rRNA from 1 species